UUUAUCUGAAGUCAUCUUCUAACUGGACAUCCUGCAUUUUAUCUGGCAAGACCAGCCCCUCUAGGAAUGCUUCCUCUCCUGUGGCCCCGCUUCUACCCCCACCACAGCCUAGGAAAAGGGGAACUCACUGAAGACUUUCACUUCUGCUUCUUCAAUAGCCCGGGGCCCAGUGGGAGAGCCCCCAUCUUCACGCCAGCCAGGCCCCAUGGCUGACACCUGUCCUCCCAGCCCUCCCCAAAAGGUGACUUGGGAAGGACCAACUCAGCAAGCCCAAGCUCAGACUCCCCAGGAAGACUGAGAGCACCAGUGGGCAAGGCAGGGUAGAGCAUGGAGAGGACACAGAACUUGAGUCUCAGGACUAGGAGCUCAUUUCACGCAUCAGUCCCCAGGCACAGCUUCCGCCCUUGGCUCCCCCUUCUGCCCCGACCCAGAGCCAGUCCUGGCAUCAGGGAAAUGAACUGGCUCCAAGAUGCUGCUAUUGCUGCUGCCCAUGCUGUUCAGAGGGUCCCUGACAUGUGGAUGGAGAUUCCAGCUGGAAGUGCAGAGUUCAGUGAUGGUUCAGGAGGGUCUGUGCAUCCUUGUGCCCUGCAAUGUUAGCUACCCCGAGGUUGGCUGGACUGACUCUGACCCAGCUCAUGGCUAUUGGUUCCAGAAAGGGACUGACACUAAUGUUGGGGCUCCAGUGACCUCAAACAACCCUGAUCAAGAGGUCCGCAGGGACACCCAGGGCCGAUUCCAGCUCCUCGGGGACUCCCAGAAAGGGAGCUGCUCCCUGGUGAUCCGAGAUGCACAGAGGGAGGACACAGCCACAUACUUCUUUCGGGUGCAGAGAGGAAGUUAUGUGAAAUUUAAUGUCACAGAAUACACACUGUCCCUGGAAGUGGCAGGUACGGACGGAGCUGACUUGAGCUGGAGUGGGCUGCAUAGAGACUGUGGGGAAUAGCUACUGCCUGGGUUAGGAUCUCCCUCUCUCCACCCCAGGCCUGACACAGAAGCCUAAUGUCUAUGUCCCUGAGAACCUGGAGCCAGGGUGCCCAGCAACACUGUUCUGUGUGUUUCCCGGGGACUUUGAGGGCUGUAUGGCCUCCAGGUUCUCCUGGAUGGGGGCGGCUGUCACCCCCCAAGGAGAUGGACCACAAGCUUUCCUCUUCUCGGCUCUCACUCUCAUACUGAGACCUCAGGAUCACGACAGUGAGCUUACCUGUCGAGUGGACUUUUCCAGAAAUGCUGUGAACACCUCAAGAACCAUCCGAUUGAGUGUGGGUCAUGGGUUUGGGGGCAAGACUCUGGGAUAUGGGGACAGGUCAGGCAUACAGGGAGGUGAGAAAUGGCCAUGGCAACCGUCAGGCUGGAGCUUGGGAGGGUUCCUAGGAGAAAAGGCAGGUCCUAUGAAGACUGAACAUCUAUGGCUCCCAGAGCCUUCUGUUCACUGGCUGGACUUUAAGGUGUGGGUGAGGUGAGGCCUGAGCGUAGGUGGUCCCCAUGCAGUGACACAGGAGAGACCUGGAGAACAAACGUCCAUCCUAUUGAGAGCUGAAGGACACAGGAGUGUGGUGUGGGAGGUGACUCAGUCCUACUCCUCUUCCCCACAGGGACACCAGGGCCCAUGGCAGAUGUGGUUCUGGUGGCCAUCAUGGUAGUUGUGCUCAAGGCACUGAUCCUCUGCCUCUACCUCACCUUAACCAUGUGAGCACCACCCAAGGAGGAAAGGAGAUACAGAGAGGGCAGAGGGCAGGUUGCUGAAUCCCAGAGCCCCAGUUCAGGAGGGACAUCAAUGGGCCAAGGGGCGCAAGACCAAGUGGGAGGAUGAAUUGGUGGUGACAGUUACACAGGAGCCCAUCAAGUCAAGCCUGGGGCCUGUCCCUACUAGGCCCAAUUGUCCAGGAUGAAUGAGAGUCCCUGUUCUCAUCAGAAGUUCUCUAGGGAAGUCCUGCCCUGUCCCACCUAAGUCACCCUCCAGGCCCUUAAGAAGGAACAGAGGGUCCGUCUACCCCCUGCCCCCAAUCUGGCCAGACUGAGAGGCUCUUUGCUGUCUUCACUCAGAGUGAGAUGCAGCAGGAAGAGAAUGGCUGGGCCACCGGUGGGCUUGGAGGACACAGGAGCCAAGGAUGCAAAUAUGUACAUGGGUUAGUUUCUCAGGUGAGUGACAUGAGUGCCUCACCUCCCAUCAUCCCACUUGGAUACCUUCUCCAGAAAGGCCCCCAUGACUGCUCCACCCAGCAUGGCCAACUUUGAGCUGCCCAUCUUUCUCCACAACCCACUGUUUCUGUUGGAUCCUGUUUCACUAAUGAUUCAGCCAACUCCAAUCUGUCAAGCUGAAACCAGGGUAUCAUUCUCCACUCUGUCCUCUCUUCCAUCUCCAAGAUCUAAUAAUUCAGUAACCUUGUCCUUACCUCCUCUUCAGUUCAUGUUGAUACCCUUCUUUUCUCUAUCCUGACCCUGGUCAUUCCUGCGGCCUCAGCUCUUCCCUCCAUCACUGGUCCCACUUCAUCUCCUUGCCUCCCAUCUCUCUUCCAACACAGGCCUCCAGACUGUGCUUCCAGAUACAAUUAUCAUCCAAAUCCUCCAUAGUUUGAAUAACGAUGUGUCCUCUUCAUGAUCAAAGACUGAGAUGUAAAUCCCCAGCUUGGACUUCAGGGCCUCACAUGACCUGACCCUGCUGGACCCUCCAGCCAGAUUCCUCCCACCCCCAACAUCACACAAGGUCCACCACACCCAAUCCAGCCAAAUCCUCUUGUGACACCGAGACUUUGCAUAUGAAGUUCCUUCUCCUGAAAUGCCCUUCCAUCCCCAUUCUGCUUUCCCUGGUCUUUCUCACCUUUUAAUCUGAGUAUUAAAUGUCAACCAGUUGUGUGUGUGUGUGUGUGUAAAACACUCACUGUAUGAAUUUUAGAAGAAAAGUGUCAUUUGUUCUUUUAUUCAUAGACACCUUCACCAAGUAUUACUGAACAUCUACUAUAUGCUGAACACUGUUGUAAGUCCUAGGGGUGCCUUGGAGAACAUGACCUCAAAAAUCUCAGUUCUCAAAGACCAGUCAUUCUGGAGACGAGAAGAAUAGAAGUAAGAAACCAAUAAUAAAAAUUAGAGUGUGGUGAUUGGUGGUAUAUGCUUAGAGAAAAAUAAUGAUGGGAAAGAAGUAAGACAUAUCGGGGUAGAUUUCCACAUUCAAUAGCAAGAGGCAGUGACAUCUGAGCAAGGACUUAAGGCCAGAGAGGAAGCCUGUUCUGUGUUCAUCUAAGAGCAGGAACAGAGAAAAGAGGGAACCAUGAGUGCAAUGGCCCAGAAGCAGAGAAAGGCUCAGUGUGCUAUGGAAACAACAAGGAGGUCAGAGUUUGAAACAGAGGGAAGUAGAAGAAGAAGGAGAGCCUGGGAGCAUGGUGCAGAACGUAAGAGGCCUUGUAGGCCACUAGAAGAAUCCGUACACUUUUGAAGGAAGCGGAGACAGGACUGCACUUUCAUUUUAGCAGAAUCCUCAUAGUUGCUCUGUAAGAAAAGGCAACAUCUCUGACCUCACGGUUCCUCCAGUACUGGUUCUCUCCAACUCUUUUGUUUCCUCACCCCCUAGAGUCAAAAUGUUAUCCAUUGUUCUGAUCUCCCUCUCCUAUUAUUUUUUCCAUUCUUUUCAAUACCAAGCCUUGGGAAAAAUCAAUAAAUGCUCAAGGCCUGUUGAAUGAUAGAUAGAAGAAUAUGGAAGUUAGUUGGGUAAUUAGCUUUGGCACACAGGGAGAAAUCUAAAGUUUUCAGUUGUGUGAGGAUAUGUUCUCAGAUUUCUAAAAAAAUAUUCUGUAGCCUUGGAGGAUUGAAAGAUGAGUGACAGUGUAGAGAGACAAUGGGUCCAGAGUUUUAAUUGUGUUUCUAUCGAGAGAAUGCUUGAAGGGGUUGGAGUAAGGUGGAGAAUUUGAGAAGAGUCACUCUGUGGGUGCUGCUGACUGCUGAGUUGGGUUACCUCAGGAAGAAGAAGGGAGGGUCAGGCAGGAGGACUGCAUGGUGAGAGCAGCACAAGACUGGGUCAGGAAUGCUGAGACCAAGGUGGAUUCUCCAUCCACCCAACUGACUAGAGCAGGUGGGGCUUGUGGGAAAUGCAGGGAGAGGCUGUCCUGCCCACAAGCCCCACACAGGCACAGGAGACACCAAAAACAUCACACCCAGAUUUGGAACUGGAAUCCCAGCCUCUGUUCCAAUUUUAAUGGCUCAGGUAAGAGUUUCCAAUGCCUUUGUUUUUUUACCGUGUACCAGGACUGAGCUAGGGCUGGGGUCAGAGAGGUUUCAGUUUCCGGGCGGCCCCAGUUCCCUAAUUCCUCCUGCCCUGUGUGAGAGGCCCCAAGGAAACUCAUGUACCAAGAGAAAGUUCCUAACUCUAAGUUUCUUAGAAGGGAAGUUUUAUGGGGCUGGUGAAUAGAGGAGGAAAGGGUCACCCUGCUGUGGGUGUAACACUUGGUAGUAGGUGGGAUUUCCUGGUGAAGGGACAAGUUUGGGGCAGAAAACUACUCAGGCCCAAAUUAGGCCUCAGUGGAUGGUGAUGGUGGCGAAAGGGCCAGGACAGAGGAGGUUCCAUUUAUAAAAAGAAGACAUUGUUUCUGAAUGUGAUAGGAAUAGAUUUACCAGGAAAAGAUCCCCAGUUAAAGGCAACCCCUAUUUUCAUCUAGGGGGUGAGGAAGAAAGGAAGCCAACAGAGGCCUUGGGAUAAGAGGAGAGGGGCUACCUCAGGGGCUAGUACAGAAGUCACCCAAGAUCACACCUGGGAUCUCCCCUCCUCCAGGACUGGGCCUUGCCUCCCUCUUCCCCAGUUCUGACCUAGACACUGACAUCCACAUCUUGUAGACUCCGGAGUCUGGCUCCCAGGGAAACUGACCUGCACCAUGCUCAGGGCCUGAGUGGGAAAGACCCUCACCGUUUCCUGGAAAUGGACCAUCCCUUUCUCCCUUGGCCCUGGACACAUCGCUUCUUGAUAUUUAGCCCUUAUCUGCAGCUCCAGCACCACAACACCAACUUCACCGAUCCUAGAGCUCCUGUGACCACAAGAGAAACAGUGCUGGGUCAUGAAACCUGGACUCCUGAGACAUAGGCCAUUGAGGGAGAAGUAAUUUGUGCUUGGGACCUGGAGACCUGGCUGGGAAAGUCUUAGCCCUACUUCUCUGACUCAGAGGGAGGUACUCCCUGAGCACUCCUGAAGAUGGAAAUAUUGACUUCCUGUCCCAGAGAUACCUUGGGAGAAAGCCCCAGCGACCUACUUCUGAAAGAUCACAGCUACUGAAAACCCUAGAGAGUGCAGUUCUACUCUGAAACACAUGGCAUCACCAUGAGUCAGAAAUGACUUGAAGAAAAAUGGUAAUUCAAUAUGGGUAGUGUCAUAUAAAAGAGAAGAAGCACAGAGUGAAGAGCACUGUUAUGAAUUGAAUUGUAUCCUCCAAAAAUGUGUAUCAACUUGGCCAGGCAAUGAUUUCCAGUAUUGUGUGGUUGUCCACCAUUUUGUGAUCUGAUGUGAUUAUCCUAUCUGUUGUAAACCCUAACCUCUAUAAUGUUAAUGAGGCAGGUUUAGAAGUAGCUAUGUCAAUGAAGUAGGACUCAAUGUACAAGAUUUGGUUGAAUCUUCAGUCAAUCUCUUUUGAGAUAUAAAAGAAAGAAGUGAGCAGAGAGGAGAGGAACCUCAUACCACCAAGAAAGAAGAGCCAGGAGAACAGCAUGUCCUUUAGACCCAAGGUCCCUGGGCUGAGAAAAUCCUAUACCCAAGGGAAGAUUGAUGAUAAGGACCUUCCUCCAGAUUUGGCAGGUACAGAAAGGCUUCCCCUAGAGCUGGAACCCUGAAUUUGGACUUCUAGUGUCCUAAACUCUGAGGGAAUAAACUUCUGUUUGUUAAUGCCAUCCACUUGUGGUAUUUCUGUUAUAGCAGCACUAGAUAAUUAAGACAAAUACCAUGUGAUCUAGCAGCUGCAAGCCAAGGAGUGAGCGUCUGAAGCUAACAGAAGCUAGAAGAGACAAAAAAGGACCUUCCUCUAGAGCCUUUGGAGAGAACAUGGUUCUGGGACACCCUGAAUUUGUACUUCUAACCUCGAGAACUGUGAGAGAGUAAAUACCUGUUCUUACAGACCACUCAAUUUGUGAUACUUGGUUAUGGCAGCCCUAGGAAAUGAAUACACCAGAGAAUCACCCUUCUCUGAUUUCCUCCCUCCCAGGCGGCCCAGUCCCUCUAGUCAUCUGCUCUCCUGGCCUGAGGCCCAGAUCUAGUUUCUGUCUACUCAGGCCCCUCUGCACAGCUGAGUUGUUCCUAAACCCAAAACCCAAUCCACAUGCAGCACCAUGGACAGCGCUAUCCCUGGUAUCUGGGAUUGACCAAGGGCCAAAAUGUGCCUAGGUCUGAUAGCCUGCCCCCUGCGGGCUGAUACUAAUGAGAGAAUUGGAAGACACUUGGGGACAGAAUAUGGAAACACCUUCUAGUGUGAGCCUGCUCUUCUCAGUCUCCCCUUGUUACCCCAGGAGACAGGGCCUAUAUUCCAUCAGAGAGGGCCUCUUCACGCAAACUUGGUUUUUUGACUCUCAGGGCCUGCUCUGCCUCCAGUUGCUGCAGGAAACCCUAAUGUCUGGAAAACACUCUAUUUCCCCCUCCUCCACCUCCUACAGGUACAAGGUCCCACUUCCCCAAUAUGUUGAUCUCUCUGUUUCCUUUCUGUCUCUCUUCUCAAAGCCUUCAGAAGUAACACAGCUGACACCCUGAUAUGAACUUCUGGCCUCCAGAACUGUGAGACAAUCCACUUCUAAUCUUUAAAGUCACUGAAUUUGUGGCUUUCUGUUAUGACAUCCCUGGGAAAAUAGGGCAACCAUUGUUGAAGAAAGAAGCUGGGACAUAAACCAUAAAUUUAAAUCCAGAAAGGGUCUCCAGUUCUCUCACCACCUUACAGUCACCACCACUUUCAGGGUGGGGCAGGCUAAUCAGAUGGUGCCAGGAGAAUCUAGAUCAUCCCUUCAGCCCAGAGAUG